rnacentral:rRNA from 1 species
CAACUUUCGACAACGGAUCUCUUGGUUCUCCCAUCGAUGAAGAACGCAGCGAAACGCGAUAGUUAAUGUGAAUUGCAGAAUUCAGUGAAUCAUCGAGUCUUUGAACGCAUCUUGCGCUCCUUGGUAUUCCGAGGAGCAUGCCUGUUUGAGUGUCAUGA